rnacentral:RNase_P_RNA from 1 species
CGACGGGGUUGGACAGCCGCGGCUGCAAGCCGAAAGGCUGCAGGUGAGGAAAGUCCGGGCUCCAUAGGGCAAGGAUAACGGGUAACGCCCGCCGAGGGUGACCUCAGGACAAGUGCAACAGAGAGAUACCGCCCUGCAUUCCGGCGGAACGCAGGGUAAGGCUGAAAAGGUGGGGUAAGAGCCCACCCGGCCUGUGGUAACACAGGUUUUACGCUGUAAACUCUAUCCCGGAGCAACGCCGUGGAGAAGCAAUAGGUCUGCCCGACCGCUUCGAGGAGGCGGCUUGAUCCCGCGAGUAAUUGCGGGACUAGAUAGAUGGCUGUCAAGACAGAACCCGGCUUAUAGACCCGUGUCGCAUC